AAGGGAAUGAAGUUCUCCCUUGGUUUUAAACCUAAACUGCUUAGUAAGCUGAUGACUUCUACUU
rnacentral:ncRNA from 1 species